rnacentral:rRNA from 1 species
UCCGAAAGUGGAGGAAUCUCAAAUCAAAACAAAUUACUGGGCAGUAUUAGUGAAAAUAGUGAAUGGAGCACCCACAGCCUUAGAAUUACUAGUCCUCACAGAUCGGAUCAUCCUCAUCGAAGAGCCCACAUCAAUAGUGAUGAGAUGCUGUCUGCAAGUAGCAGAGCUGAUGAUAAUGUCAGCACAGAUGCUAGGUCCCUUCAAAAUGGUAAGAACGGCUACAAACCUCGAGGAACAAUAUCAAUUUCUAGGAACCAAGUACAAGUUGAGUGGACCGAGCAGUAUGAACCAGGUGUUUACAUAACUCUUACGACAGUCUGUGACGGGACUCGGGAUCUGAAGAUAGUUUGCUUCAGCUGAAGGUGCUUUGGGAAGCAUCAGGCUGAAAAUUGGUGGAAUGAGAACCGCGAGAAAGUGUAUGAGAAGUACAACGUGAGGAGCCCCGGACGAGACUUGUCAGGAGCCUUGACCUGGUCGGCCUAUUAA